rnacentral:rRNA from 1 species
UUUCCUUCGGGAUUGAUUAUUUUGUGACUGAGUGGCGGACGGGUGAGUAACGCGUGAGGAACCUGCCUUUCAGAGGGGGACAACAGUUGGAAACGACUGCUAAUACCGCAUAACGCGUAGAGGUCGCAUGGCCUUUACGCCAAAGAUUUAUCGCUGAAAGAUGGCCUCGCGUCUGAUUAGAUAGUUGGUGGGGUAACGGCCCACCAAGGCGACGAUCAGUAGCCGGUCUGAGAGGAUGAACGGCCACACUGGAACUGAGACACGGUCCAGACUCC